GAUGAACGCUAGCGGUAGGCCUAACACACGCAAGUCGAGGGGCAGCACAGAAACAGCAAUGUUUUGGUGGCGACCGGCGGACGGGUGCGUAACGCGUAUGCAACCUACCUUUAACAGGGGGAUAACGGAGAGAAAUUUCCACUAAUACCCCAUAACAUCGAUCAAGGCAUCUUGAUUGGUUGAAAACUCCGGUGGUUAAAGAUGGGCAUGCGUUGUAUUAGGUAGUUGGUGAGGUAAUGGCUCACCAAGCCUACGAUACAUAGGGGGACUGAGAGGUUAGCCCCCCACACUGGUACUGAGACACGGACCAGACUCCUACGGGAGGCAGCAGUGAGGAAUAUUGGUCAAUGGGGGCAACCCUGAACCAGCCAUGCCGCGUGCAGGAAGACGGCUCUAUGAGUUGUAAACUGCUUUUAAACAGGGAUAAAGCACAGUAUGUAUACUGUGUUGAAGGUACUGUAAGAAUAAGGAUCGGCUAACUCCGUGCCAGCCGCCGCAGUAA
rnacentral:rRNA from 1 species